rnacentral:rRNA from 1 species
UACAGAGGUCUCAAGCGUUGUUCGGAUUCAUUGGGCGUAAAGGGUGCGUAGGCGGCGCGGUAAGUCGGGUGUGAAAUCUCGGAGCUUAACUUCGAAACUGCAUUCGAUACUGCCGUGCUUGAGGACUGGAGAGGAGACUGGAAUUCCUGGUGUAGCGGUGAAAUGCGCAGAUAUCAGGAGGAACACCAAUGGCGAAGGCAGCUCGCUGGAACGGAACUGACGCUGAGGCGCGAAAGCGUGGGGAGCGAACAGG